rnacentral:rRNA from 1 species
UACUCCUACGGGAGGCAGCAGUGAGGAAUAUUGCACAGUGGGCGAAAGCCUGAUGCAGCAACGCCGCGUGAGCGAAGAAGGCCUUUGGGUCGUAAAGCUCUGUCCUUGGGGAAGAAACAAAUGACGGUACCCUUGGAGGAAGCCCCGGCUAACUACGUGCCAGCAGCCGCGGUAAUACGUAGGGGGCGAGCGUUAUCCGGAAUUAUUGGGCGUAAAGAGUGCGUAGGUGGUCUUGUAAGCGUGGGGUGAAAGGCAGUGGCUUAACCAUUGUUAGCCUUGCGAACUGUGAGACUUGAGUGCAGGAGAGGAAAGCGGAAUUCCUAGUGUAGCGGUGAAAUGCGUAGAUAUUAGGAGGAACACCAGUGGCGAAGGCGGCUUUCUGGACUGUAACUGACACUGAGGCACGAAAGCGUGGGGAGCAAACAGGAUUAGAUACCCUGGUAGUCA